UGGUGCGUUUGAGGACCCCUGAGUGUUAUUUGUCAUGCAGCUGACAGGAAACUCUGCGGUUAGUAUUUGUAAAAAUGGGCUCAGAGUCUGGGCAACACCGAGAAGUUUUUGCGGCAACACUGUGGACCCUGAUCCUUAUUCUCCUUGUCUCCGUAGUGUGACGACACAGCCUGUGAUACCAGAUGACGUGUCUACUGAGAUCGAGGAGAGCAGCCGACGUCAGAGAGGGCAGGAUUAACAGCAGCAGUGGAGUCCUUCCGAUUGCUGUUUUGUCGUCAGCCUGUCUGCUCAAUCACACCGUAGCCAUAUUUGCUUAGGACAAUCAGAAAAAGGGGACCCUUGGAUGUUACGUCUCUGGGAUGUUGAAUUCACUGCUCACCACAAUGUAAUGGAUUACUAGGGGCAACAGCAGGCUGACCCGCUGGCCUCUCCAACUCAGCAUUGAAGAUGAAGAAGUAUAAAAAGGGCAUUUCAUUUUGUAACAUCUGUCUGAAUCACUUAUUUU